AAGAAGUCUUGGAGAAGAGAAAGAGAAGAAAAUUACCAUAAAAAGUUGGACAUGAGAGCGUAGAAGUCUAUUAAGACAGAGCGUGGAAGUGACAUUAGAGGUGCUGUUAACACUGGGAGUAGUGCUUUCUCUCACUGAGGCGCUGACGGCAAGUGUCUGAGGUAGCAGUCUCUGAAGUAUUAGUGCAUGACUGAAGAAACUUUAUGAUAGGAAAAGAUUCAAAGGUGGGGGACAGUGGAUAAGGAAAGAUAUCAUAUGAUUUUUUUUCUCAUUAAUCUCUAAUUUUUCCCUCCAGUUGCAGGUUCAAAGCCUGUAGGAGAAUUUUUUUUAAAUAUCAUGAAAAAUGACUCUACUUCCCUUCAACUUUGCUAUUUUGGAAAUUGGGUCUAUAAAGACUAAACAAAUAUUGUGAUGAACCUUUUAGUUACCGUGCAUCAGUUGCUUUCAGGUUAAUUAAGUGAAACUCACUAAGGCCUAAAUUGAUGGGUUUAUUUUGGGACUGUCCUAAAAUCCAAAUCUUUGUAAUUCCCAAACUGAAUGAAUCUUAUGCUUACAUUGUGGCCCCCUCUAAAUGGGGAGGAGCAAUUUAGGCCCCAAACAUGCAUUCUUUUUCCUGUGCAAUAUCAAUUCAGUUUCAACCAUCUGAAAAAUUACUCAAUUAAAGUCUAGUUUCUGAAUACAAGUGAUUGCCCAUCCUGGAAUAGCUCUCUUUGUCUGCAGUCUUUUCUGCAGAGUAGGCAAAUAAGGGGCUGGCUGGGCUGACAACAUGUAUGUGUACAAACCCGCACACUAGAGUAAUGAUCCUAGGCGUACCUCUGUAUUCAGGAACUUUGUGUUGAUGUUGGAUAAUCCUUGGGUGUUUGAGGUUUUUUUUUUUUUUUUUUUUUUAAUUAUAUUGUUCAUGCAUUCAUUAUAUGUUUGUUUAAGGCACACACUAAAUUUUAAAUAUCUGAAAUGACUAAUUUACUAAAUUCAUUUUUGAAGCCAGAGUUGUGUGACGAGUUAAAGCAAUUCAAUCUUGCAUAAAAACAUAAUGAACAUCUGCUGGAUUAAGCAGGGGAACUAGAAUGAGUAGGACACAGCCUCCAUCUUGAGAAGUAUACAUUCCGGUUGGAGGACUGAGAAAAGAAUACAAAUAAUUACAAUAUAAAGUAGGUGAGGAUGAGUUUUUCAGGAGGGAAAGUGGGUUCAAAGAAGGAGUACUUGUCCAUUUGAAACUACAAAAUAUUUUUACUGAACUUUAAAAUUUAAGAUUGUAUUGAAAGAUGAGUAAAAUUUGACAGAAUAAAAUAUUACGCAUAUAAGGAAUCAUAUAACACAGGUACAGAGAGGAAAAGACUGCCCAGCAAAUGGUUACUUUUAGCUAGAGAAUGGGGUUCAUACACAAGAACAUUAGCCAUUAAGGCCAGAUACACUUUAACCUGGGAACAAUGUAAACUAAAUUGGAGUGAAGAAAGAAAUGAAUGCUAAGGUGGAGGGUGGAGGUGGUUCAAGGAAGGGACUAGAAAAAUAAUUCUAGGGAGGUAAAGAAGAGUUUAGCUAAGGUAGUAACAGUGGGGAAAGAAAAGAAGGGAUGGAUAGGAAAAACUUUCUGAAGGACUGCUUGCUGGGAACUGUUAAAACCUUAGAUGUGGUGAAUAGGGAGACAAAGAAACCACCGGUGACUGAGAAUGAACCUGGUACCCAGAGAAUGGUGUUGCCUGAAAACAGAGAUAGGAAAGUCAAGAGGAAGAAUUGGCUGUGGAGAAAACAACAUUUCUGUUGAGAUUUAGUUUAUUUGAAUACUUUGGAUGGCCAGGAGUUAAGGAGAUAUCUUUCAGUCAUAUGCAUCCAUGUGUCAAAGCCAUCAUGUUGCAGCUAUGGGUAUACAUUUGGGUGCCAUGUGCUUAUGAUGAAAGUUUAGAUGGGAAGAUGUUGGGCAUUAUGAAAGAGUGAGAAAAGCAAGGGAAAGAGCAAAGGUCAAAGGGAGUAUCAGGUCGUCAAAAUGUCAAAUCAUGCAGACAAAUGGGCAGCAAAGCUAUUUUUGGUGCUUGGGUGAUCACUGACAACAUUAAGGAGAACUUUUCGUCUGAUACUGAGAGUGGGGUCAGAAAUAAAAGUCC